ACUACUUGGAUAACCGUGGUAAUUCUAGAGCUAAUACAUGCUAAAAAUCCCGACUUCGGAAGGGAUGUAUUUAUUAGAUUAAAAACCAAUGCCCUCUGGGCUCCUUGGUGAUUCAUGAUAACUCUUCGAAUCGCACGGCCUUGCGCCGGCGAUGGUUCAUUCAAAUUUCUUCCCUAUCAACUUUCGAUGUUUGGGUCUUGGCCAAACAUGGUCGCAACGGGUAACGGAGGGUUAGGGCUCGACCCCGGAGAAGGAGCCUGAGAAACGGCUACUACAUCCAAGGAAGGCAGCAGGCGCGCAAAUUACCCAAUCCCGAUUCGGGGAGGUAGUGACAAUAAAUACUGAUACAGGGCUCUUUUGGGUCUUGUAAUUGGAAUGAGUACAAUUUAAAUCCCUUAACGAGGAACAAUUGGAGGGCAAGUCUGGUGCCAGCAGCCGCGGUAAUUCCAGCUCCAAUAGCGUAUAUUAAAGUUGUUGUGGUUAAAAAGCUCGUAGUUGAACCUUGGGCCUGGCUGGCCGGUCCGCCUCACCGCGUGUACUGGUCCGGCCGGGCCUUUCCCUCUGUGGAACCCCAUGCCCUUCACUGGGUGUGGCGGGGAAACAGGACUUUUACUUUGAAAAAAUUAGAGUGCUCCAGGCAGGCCUAUGCUCGAAUACAUUAGCAUGGAAUAAUGAAAUAGGACGCGUGGUUCUAUUUUGUUGGUUUCUAGGACCGCCGUAAUGAUUAAUAGGGACAGUCGGGGGCAUCAGUAUUCAAUUGUCAGAGGUGAAAUUCUUGGAUUUAUUGAAGACUAACUACUGCGAAAGCAUUUGCCAAGGAUGUUUUCAUUAAUCAGGAACGAAAGUUAGGGGAUCGAAGACGAUCAGAUACCGUCGUAGUCUUAACCAUAAACUAUGCCGACUAGGGAUCGGACGAUGUUAUUUUUUGACGCGUUCGGCACCUUACGAGAAAUCAAAGUGCUUGGGCUCCAGGGGGAG
rnacentral:rRNA from 1 species